UUUCCGUAGGCGAACCUGCGGAGGGAUCAUUACAGAGUUCAUGCCCUACCGGGUAGAUCUCCCACCCUAUGUUAUUAUUACUUUGUUGCUUUGGCGGGCCGUUAGGCUCCGGCCCGACUACCGGCCCCGGCUGGUAAGCGCCCGCCAGAGGACCCAAAACCCUGAAUAUUAGUGUCGUCUGAGUACUAUAUAAUAGUUAAAACUUUCAACAACGGAUCUCUUGGUUCUG
rnacentral:misc_RNA from 1 species